rfam:Alteromonas sp. JW12 Alteromonas_lipolytica_JW12_S21, whole genome shotgun sequence.
CGUAUGGUGGCCAACUUCGGGUUGGUUAGCGAUGCGGCCUUAUUUUGAGGU